UAUAUAUAUUAUGUUAUACGUAAUAUAUUUAGUAGAAUUUUUUCUAACAUAAACUUCUAAAAUAAAACGAGAGAUUUUUCAAGCAUUUUGAUAGUAUAUGCGAAAAAUAAUUAUCAUUAUGUGUGACUAAAUCUUACACAUAAACCGGCAAGGUUGGGUAGUAACUAGUCAAAAGUUAAAAGUUAAAAGUUAAGUUAAAAAGUUGAGAAGUUAAUAACUUUUAACUUAACUUAGUUAAUUUUAAACGUGUUAAUUUUUAACUUAAACUAGUUAUUUUUAAAUGCGUUAGUAUUAACUUUUAAAUACAUUAACUUAUUAACUUUUUUUAUACAAGUUAAAAAAAUUCAUCAAUAUUAAAGUCGUAUGAAAAUGGUUGAUCUUAAUGCGAAUAUUUCAUUUGUCGUACAAGUUUGUCGGAUGUGUAUAUUCGCUGUUGAAUAGAGAAUUAACUUUAACUGAAUUAAUUUUUGUUUAAAUAACUUUUAAUGUAAACUUAGUUAAUUUUUGCGCCAUUAAACUUAACUUAGUUAAAAAAAAAAAUUAACUUAUCCAACCCUGUAAAUUGGAUAUUAUAAUUUCUUGUUUAUUUAGAGAAAAAUACGAUUCACAACAAGUUUUCUUUUUGAUCAAUUACAAUUCAAAACCGGUCCUUCAUAUAAUUAAUGCUGCGUAAUCACAUGUGGAUUAUAAAUAGUGAACACCAGAUAGAGGGGCCGCAAAACGUGGUGAGUUGUUCAAGCGAUCAGAUUGAGUGAGAAGAUUAAAUUUGUAAAAAGACGAAAAACAUUGUAAUAAUUACAAACGGUGAAAAAAUUAGAGCCGGAUAUUACAGAAAAGUAAAAAAAAAACCUUGUGUUAUUUCAAAGAAUUUAAAACUGUUGAGAAUACAAAGUUAAAACCAUUAAGAAAUUGUAAAUAUUAUAAUAGAGUGCAGAAAAUGAUGUAAACAUCUUCAAUCUACAACACAUCAAAAAACAAGGAAGAAAUCGAAAAGAAAAAAAAGCUUAUAUAGAAUUUAUUCUAGAAUUUCGAAAAAAAAAAAUAAAUUUUGAAUAUAUGUCAUUUCGCAGUUUAAUUUUAGAUUCCGCAGAACGCGUAAAGAUUAUUUUUAUAGCACAAUGAAAAUAUUCCUUAAUGUUUUCCUGAUGAUUGUGGUAAUGGCCAUUGUGAUAUCAUCGGGAAUUUGCAAACGUGGACGGAGAUUGACAACUCCUUGUCCACGAGGAUGUGAUAAUAAAAAUAAGCUGAUUAAUACGUGGUAAAUCGAGAUCCCUCGAAUAUGUUGAGCUCAAGAUCACUAAUUCAAGAAUUGCUUAAUAAUGAAAAAACGUUGAACUAAUUUGGGAAAUAUGAAAUAAUGAAAUAAUACUUCACAAAAAAUAAAUUUUAAUUUUCUUGCUAA